UACAGAGGCCUCGAGCGUUAGGCGGAAUCACUGGGCUUAAAGCGUGUGUAGGUGGAUGCCUAAGUACCUUGUGAAAUCCCACGGCUUAACCGUGGAACUGCUUGGUAUACUGGGUGUCUUGAGUCACUCAGGGGCGAGCGGAACAAAUGGUGGAGCGGUGAAAUGCGUAGAUAUCAUUUGGAACGCCAAUGGGUGAAAACAGCUCGCUGGGGGUGCACUGACACUGAGACACGGAAAGCCAGGGGAGCGAACGGG
rnacentral:rRNA from 1 species